CCAUAUCUAGAACACCCUAUAUAUGACUAAGUCAUGAAUGAGUAUGAAUCAAAAUAUAGAUUCAUAUAUACAAGAUUCUAUGAUAGUCUCAGGUCAAAAGAUUACUUGCACAACUCCCAUUAAGAGAAAUAUCUUUUAACAAGUAAGACUUCAUAAGAUAUUCUCAAGAUGGAUCAAUUCAGUGAACUCAUUCACUAAUGAGCACCCACAUCCUUGUAUUAGUAUCACACAUAAGUAAUUAUGAGAUCAAUCAUCCUCUCCAUGGAGUAUACAUAGGAUGUGCCA
rnacentral:lncRNA from 1 species